AAGCCCAAACGAAUCUCACAAUAAACGCGUCAAGGAAGGCGGCUUCUUUCGUCUCUGUCUUCUGCUUCGGCUUUUCUCCUUUCGCUUGAUUUUCGUGUCGCCGGUAAGGCAAUUCGAUACCUCUGAACCCUAACGAGACGCAGCCACCGUUUAGGGUUUCGAUCAUCCAUUCAUUCUUCCUUGUUUCCUUUUCCUGAUUGCUUCCGUGUGGUUUCAUUUCCAUCUUACGUUUCAAUUCUGUUGAUUCUAUCGAGGAAGCUCUUGAGAAAAUUAUAUUUGAUUUUUGUCAUGUGCGUUUCUCUUGAUUAGGGUUUGUGAAUCUUUUAAAAAAAAAUUGAAUUAUACGUUCUGUUAUUUUUGGGAGGGUUAGGGUUUCAAAAAUUUGGGAUUAUUGAGGAUUUCGGUUUGAAAUACAUUUUUCUUGGAUUCUAAAUUGCUUAUUGAGAGGAAUUGUGCUUGUGCUUGUCAAUCGAUGGCGGCAGGGCGAAAAAGUGUUCCGCUAAAAGGGGAAUUUUUCAAAUACAGUUCAACAAAGAGAUCUGAUCACUAUAAGAAUGGCUCUUUCGGCGUGGAAGUGGGUGGAUCUCGCAGCCAUCACUUUGCUCGUUCCGAUGAGCCUCGUGGUGGGAAAGAGGAGAGAGAGCAAGGUGAGAUCUGUGUUGAAGAUGAGGAAUAUGAGGUUGCCUAUGGUUUGCCACCGCCACAGAAGAAAAGGAAGUUUUCUCCAAUCGUAUGGGACCUAGCAGAGAAGGAAGAAAGAAUUUCGUCCGAGAGUAGGAUCUCGGAUACUGUUGCUCUGUCUCCUCCUCGUCCAUCUGUGCUGAGCACUCCUGGAGCCAACGAUCUUGGUUCAGAUGUCCUUUUGGAGGAAUCUUUGCCAGAUUCUGGAAGCUGUAGACAGGAUGUGGAGGAAGAGAAGGAUGUGCAAGAAUGGACUAUCAGAAAGUCAAGAUGGGCUACUGAUGAUGGCCCCUCACCCAUGGCUGCUGAUGAUAAAUUCAAUCAUGUCAAGGGCAGCUGCAGUCCUGAAAUUGGUGAAUUCCAUCGCGGUGGAUCUUCAGAAAGCACCGUCACUAGAUCGUCAGGAAGCACGGGGAGAGAUCAAUAUCUUGGACUUUCUACCGAUGACGCCGAUUCUGAAAGGGAUUUCCAUAUAGACCCCGUGGUCGAUGUUGAGGGACCAAGUGACGUUGGUGAUUGUCCAUCGGAUUCUGAAGAGAGUGAUGGAUUGAUGCAAGUGCAGAGAAAUAUAAAUAUGCUUCACAGUUGCAGAAGUGUGUGCGAGUUUGAGAUGAUUAAGAAAAUAAAUGAAGGAACUUAUGGUGUUGUCUAUAAAGCUAGGGAUAAGAAAACUGGAGAAUUGGUCGCAUUGAAGAAGGUGAAGAUGAAUAUAGAGAGGGAUGGCUUUCCUAUGUCAUCCUUGAGGGAAAUAAACAUUCUCUUGUCUUUUAACCACCCCUCCAUUGUGAAUGUUAAAGAAGUAGUUGUAGAUGAUUUUGACGGUACUUUUAUGGUAAUGGAAUACAUGGAGUAUGACCUCAAGGGAAUGAUGGAGAUUAAGAAACAGCCUUUUAGCAUUAGCGAAAUUAAAUCCUUGGUAAAGCAACUUCUUGAAGGUGUCAAGUAUCUCCAUGAUAACUGGGUUAUCCAUAGGGACUUGAAGUCAUCAAACAUUCUGCUGAACCAUGACGGGGAGCUUAAAAUAUGCGAUUUUGGGUUGUCAAGGCAGUAUGGAAGCCCUCUGAAGCCAUAUACUCCAGUUGUGGUUACACUAUGGUACAGGGCACCUGAACUUUUGUUGGGUGCUAAAGAAUAUUCAACAGCAAUUGACAUGUGGUCAGUGGGUUGCAUAAUGGCUGAAUUAAUUUCCAAGGAGCCCCUGUUCAGGGGUAAAAGUGAACUUGAACAACUUGAUCAGAUUUUUAGAACCCUGGGUACACCUGAUGAGAAAAUUUGGCCUGGAUUAUCCAAAUUACCUGGGGCUAAAGCAAAAUUUGUCAAGCAACCGUUUAAUAUGUUAAGGAAGAAGUUUCCAGCUGCAUCAUUUACCGGUUUGCCAGUUUUAUCUGAGCUGGGGUUUGACUUGUUGAAGAAGCUUUUGACUUACGACCCCGAAGAGAGGAUAACUGCUGAAGAUGCUCUCCUUCAUGAUUGGUUCUACGAAGCCCCUCCUCCCAAAUCUGAUUUCAAGCCUAUUUUUCCUUCUUGGAGGUGCUAGGACAGUUAAUGAUCAUAUACAAAGAAUGAUAUGUUGCAAGUGACCGCGUGAUGGACAUGACUGGGCUAUUGUUUGCUUUAUAAAUUACAAGCGGCGGAUUAAUGUAUAUACCUGAGAAGGACAACUAGUAAUUAAUGAUGAAUAUUUGCUCUGGAAAAAAACAGCUGAAGUGAUUUCAGCUGUUCUAAAGUUUCUGCACUAAAUUGGGACCAAGGAGUUUUGUUCUUCUGUUUUCUUCUACUAAUUUUACACCAGGAAAUGCUUCAAAAAAAAUAUUGGCUGCAUUCACGCGCCAAGAAUUUGUAGGUGUUGGAUAUGUAGAAAAAUAAUCAAUAAUCAAUUCCCAGGGAUAUUCGUGGUCAGCAGGUAAACAUGUUCAAUUUCAAAGUUGAUCCCUGAAAGAAAAUGAUGAUAGUGUGUGCUUGCUUUCUGGGGAGUGGUUGCCUAGCUUUCCAUGUUCUUGCCCAUUUUUCUGCAGUAGGGUUUACAUUUCCCUAACCGGAAUGCUUAUUUUAUUUUUAUUUUUUAAAUUUAACAAUACACGGGAAUGUAUCUAGGAGGCAGUGAUUGCAUCCUGGAAAAGGGGGUCACAAGGAAGCCGUGAGAUAUGGUGACGAUUGUGGAGCUCUGCAAGGCAGAGGUAGAGGUAGGUAGGUGAUAUUUGUGCUUCCCUGGCUCUGCUUUUGGUAGGUCGUAUAUGGUAAUUUGAUGAAAUUCAAUUAAAGGUAACAUAUUCCUUUAUUUAUUUAUUCUAGAGGAUUAACAUUUCCUUGUAAUGAGGAGUUUUAAUUCACUUUGUUCGUCUCAAAUAUGACACGUUCUUUAUUUGAUGAGGGUAUAUUAUCCGAUACAUCCAAGUAUUAACUGACCUUGCAAGCGCUGAACACUGUUCUUACGGUGUCUGAUAUUCACUAUCAUUUCUCUGGAUUUUCAGUUCCAGGUGCAAAAGUUUUGGUUGGUAUGAAAAAAUUGAGGAUGAUGAAGAUUUAAUUGAGUACUUUUGUUGGAGAGAGGAGGAAAAGUAAUUUUGAAAUUGAUAGUUUGAUCCUUUCUUUCUUUUCAUAUUUAAUUAUAUUUUUUAACCUAAUUUAUUUCACUUUAUUUGGUUGUUUUAUUAGGUUGUUAUUUUGUAAUUUAUUUCUCAUUUCAUAUCCUGGUGAGUUCAAUUUUCUUCCUGCUGAUUUUUUGGUGAUGUUUUUUUUUCUUUAUCGUGGUUGUCCUUGAAAUGUUUGAAUUGACACUAUGUAUAAUGUUUUGCUUCAUAUUAGUUUAGCUCGAGCUUGUUAAAUACAUUUUUUUUUUAUUUCUGCAAAAUUAUCGUAAAUAAAGUGACAGGUGACUAAAAUGGAUAGUUGUCUGGAAAGUGAAGAUUAAUGAAGGGUUUUAAAAAUUGUAGGAAUUAAAAGGUUGUUGAGUAUAUUAUUUUGACGGCUAA